GACAGAGGCCUCGAGCGUUAGGCGGAAUCACUGGGCUUAAAGCGUGUGUAGGCGGACCUCUAAGUACCUUGUGAAAUCCCACGGCUCAACCGUGGAAGUGCACUCGAAACUGCAUAGCUAGAGUCCUGGAGAGGAAGGUGGAAUGCUUGGUGUAGAGGUGAAAUUCGUAGAUAUCAAGCGGAACACCGGUGGCGAAGGCGGCCUUCUGGACAGUGACCGACGCUGAGACGCGAAAGCGUGGGGAGCAAACAGG
rnacentral:rRNA from 1 species